rnacentral:rRNA from 1 species
GACGAACGCUGGCGGCGUGCUUAACACAUGCAAGUCGAACGGAAGCGCACUGAAAGCUUGCUGUUCCCGCAUGCCAGUGGCGUACGGGAGAGGAAAGCAUCCGGACCUUGACUUUCGGAUGGGUUCACGAAACGGAAGCUACUCCCAAAUCGGAGCCCCUGCCGCAGGGUGCGGGUGGGAAAGUUUCGGCGGUUGGGGAUGGUUGCGCGGCUUAUCAGCUUGUUGGUGGGGUAGGGGCUUACCAAGGCUGUGACGGGUAGCCGGCCUGAGAGGGUGACCGGCCACAUUGGGACUGAGAUAGGGGCCAGACGGCUACGGGAGGCAGCAGUGGGGAAUAUUGCACAAUGGGCCGAAGCCUGAUGCAGCAACGCCGCGUGGGGGAUGACGGCUUUCGGGUUGUAAACCGCUUUCGCUUGUGACGCAGCGGGAGUGACGGUAAUGGAUGAAGAAGCACCGGCUAACUACGUG